CAAUAGCGUAUAUUAAAGUUGUUGCGGUAAAAAAGCUCGUAGUUGGAUUUCUACCGAAGAUAGCCGGUCGGGUCUUCGACCUUGUAUCUGGUUUUGUCUUUGGUAUCCUCAUAGGGAACGUUUCUGCGCUUUAUUGCGUGGUGCGGUAUCUAUGACUUUUACUUUGAGGAAAUUAGAGUGUUCACGGCAGGCAAACGCCUUGAAUAUAUUAGCAUGGAAUAAUAACAUAGGAUCGUCGUCCUAUUUUGUUGGUUUCUAGGGCUAAGAUAAUGAUUAAUAGGGAUAAUUGGGGGCAUCUGUAUCAACGCGUCAGAGGUGGAAUUCUUGGAUUGCGUUGCGACAAACUACUGCGAAAGCAUUUGCCAAGGAUGUUUUCAUUGA
rnacentral:rRNA from 1 species